rnacentral:rRNA from 1 species
AUGAAACUCCCAAGCUUAUACUACUUACGUUCAUCGCUGCUCACGGCUUCCUUAGCCAUCCAACUGAUCACGGUGGCGGCGGCCAGUGGUGCAACAUCGUCGACGGCGGCACUGAAGAAAUACAACGCCAUGUUCACCUUCGGUGACUCCAUGGAUGAGACUGGCAACAUAUGCGCCGGCAGCAGCAACAAGACGGAGUUGAACGUGCUCACCUGUACCCACCCGCCCUACGGCGAAACCUACUUCGGAAGGCCGUCUUGCCGGUGGUGCGACGGCCGCGUGGUCGUUGACUUCAUCGCACAAGCACUUGGGCUUCCAUUACUCCCACCGUCGAAAGCGAUAGGCACAGAUUUCCGUCGGGGCGUAAACAUGGCCAUCACCGGUGGCACGGCCAUGAACUUCUCCUUCUACAAAGCUCUCGGCGUUGAAGAUCCGGUGUGGAACCAUGGUUCACUAGACACGCAGAUCCAAUGGUUCAAGGAGUUGUUGCCGUCCAUAUGCGGGACAGAGCAGAGUUGCAAAGGAUACCUGAGGAAAUCGCUCUUCAUGUUCGGUGCAUACGGCGGAAACGACUACAACGUGCAGCUGCUUGAACGUGGCUUGACACCGGAGCAGGCAACGAACUACACCCCAAAGAUCGUUGGUGCCAUCGCCAACGGCGUGGAGAAACUGAUUGCUCUCGGCGCCGUCCACGUCGUCGUCCCGGGAAUCUUCCCGACCGGCUGCUUGCCGAUCUUCCUGUCCUUGUUCGGCGACGGCGACUUGGACGACACCGGCUGCCUCAAGGCCUACAACCUCCUGACCAGGUACCACAACUCGAUGCUCCGGAAGCAGGUGGAAGCCCUCCAGCGGAAGCACCGCAACUCGACGAGGCUCAUGUACGCAGACUACUACGGCCUCGUGUACCAGAUGGUCCAGGAGCCCCACAAGUUUGGGUUUAGCGCUCCGUUUGAGGCGUGCUGCGGGGCGGGAGGGGGCAAGUACAACUUCGACCUGGGCGCCAGGUGCGGUAUGGACGGGGCGACGGUGGCCUGCCGCAACCCGUCGGCGCGGCUCAGCUGGGACGGCAUCCACCCCACGGAGGCGGCUAACAAGGUGAUCGCCGGGGCACUGCUGAGGGGACCCUACUGCACCCCUCCCAUCCUGUCCUAG